rnacentral:rRNA from 1 species
AUCAACGCUGGCGGCGUGCCUAACACAUGCAAGUCGAACGAGAAAGAGGGGCAACCCUGAGUAAGUGGCGACCGGGUGAGUAACACGUGACUAACCUACCUUUCAGGUGGGGAAUAACCUACGGGAAACCGGGGCUAAUACCGCAUAACAUCCUGUGGUUGAGAUACCGUUGGAUACAAAGGAGCAAUUCGCUGAUAGGAGGGGGUCGCGGCAGAUUAGCUAGUUGGGCGGGGUAAUGGCCCACCAAGGCAUUGAUCUGUAGCCGGCCUGAGAGGGCGCACGGCCACACUGGAACUGAAAC